rnacentral:rRNA from 1 species
GAUGAACGCUGGCGGCGUGCCUAAUACAUGCAAGUCGAGCGGACAGACGCUGCGCUUGCUCCUCUCACGUUAGCCGCGCACGGGUGAAUAACACGUGGAUACCCUCCCUAUCAGACUGGGAUAACUUCGGGAAACCGGCGCUAAUACCGGAUAAUAUAUUGAACCGCAUGGUUCAAUGGUGAAAGACGGUUUUGCUGUCUCUUAUCGAUGGAUCCGCGCCGCAUUAGAUAGUUGGUAAGGUAACGGCUUACCAAGGCAACGAUGCGUAGCCGACCUGAGAGGGUGAUCGGCCGCCCUGGAACGGGAACACGGACAAGAGGCCUAAGGGAGGGCGCAGAAGGGAAUCUGCGGCAAUGGUCGAAAGCCUUACGGAGCAACGGCGCGUGAGUGAUGAAGGUGUUCGGAGCGUAAAACUCUGUUACGAGGGAAGAACAAAUGUGGAAGGAACUAUGCACGGAGUGACGGUACUUAAUAAGAAAGCAACGGCUAACUACGUG